GGGAUCUUGGUCUAGUGGUAUGAUUCUCAUUUAGGGUGUGAGAAGUCCCGGGUUCGAUUCCCGGAGAUCCCC
rnacentral:tRNA from 1 species